UACACUCCUACGGGAGGCAGCAGUGGGGAAUUUUGGACAAUGGGCGAAAGCCUGAUCCAGCAAUGCCGCGUGUGUGAAGAAGGCCUUCGGGUUGUAAAGCACUUUUGUCCGGAAAGAAAUCCUUGGCUCUAAUACAGUCGGGGGAUGACGGUACCGGAAGAAUAAGCACCGGCUAACUACGUGCCAGCAGCCGCGGUAAUACGUAGGGUGCGAGCGUUAAUCGGAAUUACUGGGCGUAAAGCGUGCGCAGGCGGUUUGCUAAGACCGAUGUGAAAUCCCCGGGCUCAACCUGGGAACUGCAUUGGUGACUGGCAGGCUAGAGUAUGGCAGAGGGGGGUAGAAUUCCACGUGUAGCAGUGAAAUGCGUAGAGAUGUGGAGGAAUACCGAUGGCGAAGGCAGCCCCCUGGGCCAAUACUGACGCUCAUGCACGAAAGCGUGGGGAGCAAACAGGAUUAGAAACCCGUGUAGUCCCAUGA
rnacentral:rRNA from 1 species